UUGAAAGAUUGCGGCGGUUUUCAGCUCUUGCGAUCCAGAGGAUCAACACGUUCCAAAAAAUUAGAGACAAUACCCUGUCCAGAUGAUGGGUAUUCCCCUGAGUACCUCUUAAGUGAGUCUGUCAUGGUUGGGCAGGCUCUCAUAUAUAUCAGGCCACUCCAGAAAGAUAUAGAUCUGCAGGUAGAUUCUUGAGAGUGACCAGCCUAUAUCAUCUGGACCACUGACAGAAUGCCUGUACUGCAAUGAGAAGUAUAGCCUAUCAGAAAUACAAGACCAUGUUGAUGUUUGCGAAAAGUUUCAUGAGUCAUGCAAAGUGAUAUCAGAUAGCACUGGCAGUACAAGACAGGAAGAAAUGGCAGCAACCAUGUCAGAGGAUAAUGCUGAAAGGGAGGAAAGGGCCUCAACAUCACUCAAUACUGUUUUCUCAGCCAGUACCAGCCCAUCAGCGGAGCCUGCCACUGAAGGUGUCUCUAUCGAAUUGACCAUACCACUGAGCACACCUUUC
rnacentral:lncRNA from 1 species